UGGGGAAUAUUGGACAAUGGGCGAAAGCCUGAUCCAGCCAUGCCGCGUGUGUGAAGAAGGUCUUCGGAUUGUAAAGCACUUUAAGUUGGGAGGAAGGGCAGUAAGCGAAUACCUUGCUGUUUUGACGUUACCGACAGAAUAAGCACCGGCUAACUCUGUGCCAGCAGCCGCGGUAAUACAGAGGGUGCAAGCGUUAAUCGGAAUUACUGGGCGUAAAGCGCGCGUAGGUGGUUCGUUAAGUUGAAUGUGAAAGCCCCGGGCUCAACCUGGGAACUGGAUCCAAGACUGGCGAGCUAGAGUAGGGCAGAGGGUGGUGGAAUGUCCUGUGUAGCGGUGAAAUGCGUAGAUAUAGGAAGGAACACCAGUGGCGAAGGCGACCACCUGGGCUCAUACUGACACUGAGGUGCGAAAGCGUGGGGAGCAAACAGG
rnacentral:rRNA from 1 species